GUUUGAUCCUGGCUCAGAUUGAACGCUGGCGGCAUGCUUUACACAUGCAAGUCGAACGGCAGCGGGGGCUUCGGCCUGCCGGCGAGUGGCGAACGGGUGAGUAAUGCAUCGGAACGUGCCCAUGUCGUGGGGGAUAACGUAGCGAAAGCUACGCUAAUACCGCAUACGCCCUGAGGGGGAAAGCGGGGGAUUCUUCGGAACCUCGCGCGAUUUGGAGCGGCCGAUGUCGGAUUAGCUAGUAGGUGAGGUAAAGGCUCACCUAGGCGACGAUCCGUAGCGGGUCUGAGAGGAUGAUCCGCACACUGGGACUGAGACACGGCCCCAGACUCCUACGGUAGGCAGCAGUGGGGAAUUUUGGACAAUGGCGCAAGCCUGAUCCAGCCAUGCCGCGUGAGUGAAGAAGG
rnacentral:rRNA from 1 species